GAUAAUUCUCAGGGCGGGGUGUAAUUCCCCACCGGUGGUAAUAGCCCACUAGCACUUAGUUUUAUAUUAUAUACGAUUAAGGUUAGCUGAUUUGGUGUGAUUCCAAAGCCGACAGUGAUAGUCUGGAUGGAAGAGAGUUGCU
rfam:Frischella perrara strain PEB0191, complete genome.